rnacentral:lncRNA from 1 species
GGAGAGCUCGGGCGGGCGGGGCGCGCGGCGGGCGCUGUCCGGGCGGCGCGGGCCUUGGCACCGGGGACUUAACACUUCAUGCUUCUCGCCGCCUCUUCUGCCUGGCGCUUUUUAAUUUUUCUUUUUUUUUUUCUUUCUUUUUUUCCUCCUCUUUCCUCGUUCCCUCGCUCUGUCUCUUCCCUCUGCGCAAAGUGCUACACAGAGGUGCAGCUCUGCUGGCGGAAAGGGAGGGGAGGGGGAGUUAAGUUCUUUCUUGCCUUUUUUUUUUUUAGCAAAAUAGCAAAGUCCCGGGCAAGGAAAAAAAAUAAGGGGAGGCAGAGAGCAAAAGGGGGGUAAGGCCGAGCCGAGGAGCAGCCCAAGCUACAGCUCGAAGAUGAAAAAAGAUUUUAAAGCCUCUGAUCCAGCAAGAAGAGUUUAAAGCAAUUGCGGAGUUUUAUAGCACUCGUGACGUCAGGCCCAAGUGGGAAAUUGACUGGCACUCCUGGCCAAUGGGAGGCGGCGAGAGCGGCAGCGAUUAGCAUAAUAGUAUAGAAACAAGGAAACUUUUCGGAGCUGUCAAUCAGGGCCCAAUCAGCUGACUGUCAGCUGGGAUGGGCUGGGUUAACCCUUGCAGUGCCGCAGCUCCGGGGGAGGGAAGGAGAGAAGGAGCGAGGGAGGGAAGGAGGGAACGGACCCCCGCGCAAAGUUUAGAGCAAGUGCUAGAGUUUUCCCGAGGGGCAGCUGGGCGCCGGAGGACCCGGGAGGACGGUGUGCUUCCUCCGGAGCGCGACAGAGGCCUCUGGCUCUCGAGCCCGCGCCCGCCCGCCACCGCACGCCUCGCCGCCCGGGCCCGGGGACUGGGGGUGGUGAACCGGCCUGGCCGCUGGCUUUCCUUCCCUCCUCUGGGCACCUUGAGCACCCCAGGGCUCUUCCUUCCACGAAAUACUGGUUUUGCACAAGAGAUGUGAGAAGCCCAGAUGUUUUCUGGGAAGGUGUGCCAGAUUUCACCCAGAUCUGUUACCUUCUUUUAUCUGAUAAACUCCCAGCAUGGCCUGGAAGACAGGAGGCAUUGAUUUAAUAAAUGGUUUGAGAGAUACGUGAACACUGGGAUUACAGGACCUCUGCGGUUUCCAGCAGUUGACAGGGAUAUAAAAUGAUGGGGCCAUUUUUCUGGAUUGCCACCUUUUCCCUGUUUCCUCUUUCCUCUUUCCUUUUCAGGGCAUAGCCAUCUGCUUCUGCUUGGAUUUUUCCUUCCCUUCAACGAGGGACUGCUUGUGACGUGCUCUUCCAUUCUCAUUGCUUUUGAUCCCGUUCACAGCUUAUCCCAGUGAGGAAAUUUAUCUCCAAAGCAUUCAACCCUUCAAAGAUUUUAUUGCCAUCAUCUCAGAGUGGCUUUUAAAAAAAGCAAAGCAGAUUAAAAAAAAUAAUAAAGGAACCUGAUAUCGGGAGAAUCUUUUUGCAGGCAGUGUCAUUUACGCCUGGUAACUCGGAGGACCACAGACUUGGUGGUGAUGCUACCUCCGAAGUUUUGUCCUCUUUCAGCUCCCGCUGAAGGGGGAUGCAUAGCUCUUAUUCCAGAGGUGUAUAACAGGCAUCUGGCCUGGAAAAGAAAUGCAGUUCUAGAAAGUACUGAGCAAACUUGAGUUCUCUUAUAGUUCUGAGUUAAAGAUGCCGAAGCAGGUGUUUUUGGGAUUUGCGAGUUUCUGGAUUUCUUUAGCCGAGGCCUGGGGAAAGGGAUCUCUUACAGCUCUGUUUCACAUCGGAGUUCGCCUUUACCUCCUGGGUGUGGCUGAGUUCUCUCCUGCAUUGUUCUGUGUGUUGAAAACACCAGACAUAUCCAGAACACUCUCACAGCAUCCUCCAAUGCUUGGAUGAAGGUCAGAAAUGAGACUAACACCUCCACCCACCCCAAAUACAAGUCAAGGUCAAAUAUAGCCCUUCUGAUAAACCUUUUUUAUUUAGUAAUGCUGUCAAAGUGAUAUAUUCUCUUUAUUGAAUAUAAAUGCUUAGACAAGGCAGAAAUGGGAAGUUUUAUCAAAGAGGGAUGCUGGUCCUCAUGUCUACGCCAGCCCUUAAUCUUGGCUUCUGGUAUAGCUGUCUAUACCAGCUGGUGUUUGUGUGCUUUCACAGAAUAGAACCAUGGCGUGGACGAAGUUCUUUAACUUUAUUCCCUUCAGGAUGCAUCCACCUUCAUCUCAAAGAAGACUUCUGAGAACUCUCUAGUUUUUGCUAGAGUUCACCUAAUGAACUCUUACCUUGUGUGGGGAGAUGUUUAGAGACCUGAUCUUAAUGUUCGCCUUCCAACCAAAGCAUGCAUCUGGAUCUGAGCCACCAGCAGGCAGGGCUGAUUUUUCAACCAGGUACAGCAGACAGUGGCCAGGGUUAUGGAAACAUUUUAAUUUCUUUUAAUAGCAGAAGAGAAAGCAUGGGUUAUACUUUGUGCUGUAUCACCAAGGUCAUAAAAUAUAAUUUAAAAAACCUAUUUUCAUGCCAGAAUGAGUCCAUGGAGGACAAAGUUCCCAAGACUUAUAAAAGAUACACGUGUAACCUUAACAGAUGACCUUGAUCACCUCCAGUGACAAGGGGCUCACUCCUAUCUGUCCAUCAUCUUCCUCCCGCUCUUGAGACUGUCAGAAAUAUUUUGUUUACUUUAGCAUGAAGCCUUACCCGCUUCUUCUGUAGGUUUGUCCUGAUCUUAUAAACACACAAAGCAAUAAAAUCAUAAAGUCCUCAUGUGCCACAGGGCUUUGGGAAAUCAAAAAUAGUGAAUGGGACACCCUCUUCCUGCCUUUCUUUCUUAUUCUGAACAUAGUGCCUUCGGCACUUCCAUGUAUGCCUUGGUUUCGAGAGCCCUGCUUCCUGGUUGCUGAUGCCCUGGUGUGCUCACUGACUGUCUGCAACCCUUGGAGGGUCCAAGUCCCAGA